UUUUUAUAGAAUUUUAUUUUUUAGUCAAAAAGCUAAAAUAAAUUUAAAAGACGAGAAGACCCUAUAAAUCUUUAUAUUUUAUUUAUUUUAAUUGUAAAGAUUAGUUUUAUUAUAAUAAAUUAAAAUAUUUUAUUGGGGUGAUAUUAAAAUUUAAAAACUUUUAAUUUUUAAAACCAUUAAUUUAUGAAUAAAUCAUCCAUUAAUAAUGAUUAAAAAUUUAAGUUACUUUAGGGAUAACAGCGUAAUUUUUUU
rnacentral:rRNA from 2 species